rnacentral:rRNA from 1 species
GGGGAAUAUUGCGCAAUGGGCGAAAGCCUGACGCAGCGACGCCGCGUGAGGGAUGAAGGUUUUCGGAUCGUAAACCUCUGUCAGAAGGGAAGAAACUACGUUGUGCUAAUCAGCAGCGUACUGACGGUACCUUCAAAGGAAGCACCGGCUAACUCCGUGCCAGCAGCCGCGGUAAUACGGAGGGUGCAAGCGUUAAUCGGAAUUACUGGGCGUAAAGCGCACGUAGGCUGUAGUGUAAGUCAGGGGUGAAAUCCCACGGCUCAACCGUGGAACUGCCUUUGAUACUGCACAACUUGAAUCCGGGAGAGGGUGGCGGAAUUCCAGGUGUAGGAGUGAAAUCCGUAGAUAUCUGGAGGAACAUCAGUGGCGAAGGCGGCCACCUGGACCGGUAUUGACGCUGAGGGGCGAAAGCGUGGGGAGCAAAC